rnacentral:misc_RNA from 1 species
AAUACAUUACUUUAAAGAUU